rnacentral:lncRNA from 10 species
AAAAAAAAAAAAAAGAAUAUAUAAAACAUUCAUAAAAGCAGAAUAUUUGUGAGGUCACAAAGUCUUAAGAAAUAACAAAUAAUCAAUACUACAUCAUUUAUAUUCUCUGACCAAAAUUUAAUAAAAUUAAAAGCUAAUAUAAAAUAUUUAAAAGUUCCACAUAUUUGAAAAUUAGAUAAUCUAUUACUAAAUAACAUUAGGGGUAGAGAAAUUAAGAAGUGUUUGGAAAAUAAUGAUAAAUAGAAAUACUUAAAGUAUAAAUCCUGAGAUGUAUAAUUAUUAAUAUCUUCAAAAAUAUUUGUCAUAAAUUUUUUAAAAAUUAAAUUUAAAGAAUAAAGUAUUCCUCAACCCCAUUGUAAAAUGAACAGGAACAAACAUAAAGAAACAGGAAUUAACACCAUAGAAAACAGAAACAACAGAGUAUAUUAUCAAACAACCUGAUAUAAAAGAUUUCUAGUAGGACUGACCAAAGAGACAAGUAAUAUGAAAAGUAAAAAUAUAUGGAAUGAUAAUUAAAAACUACCAUAUAAAUAUUGAGACAUUAAUACGAUGAAAGCAUUUCAUCAGUAUCAGUAUGCUAAUACAUUACAAAAACCAAAUUGCAUAUAUGACUAUGAAAAAGUAUAAGAUAACUACAUUUGUUACACAGGUCAAUAAACAUUAAUCCAAUUGAUAUAUUGGUCUGAGAUAUUCCCACCCCAAAAUAACUCAGUCCCAAUAGCUUUAUAAUCUAUUUUUCUGAAGGUCUAGGAAAUUUUGUAUUAAAUAAUAGUAAUGUACAAAUCAUUCCAAAGCAGUUACAAUCAUAUGAACUGAAAAAUAAAAUUCUAAACAGCUUUAUUGAGGUAUUAGUUAUAUACUAUAAAAUUCACCCAUUGAAAGUGAUUCAGUGAUUUUUAGUAAAUGGAAAGAGUUGUACAGCCAUCGCCAGAAUCUGGUCUUAAAAUAUUUUCAUCACCCUACGAGAUUCCCCUGUGCUUGUGUACAGUAUAUCCAGCCCCCACCUCCAGCUUCAAGCAAUCAUUAAACAUUUUUCUGACUCUGUAAAUUUGCCCUUUUUGGACAUUUCAUAUAAAUGGAAUUAUAAAUAUGUAAUUGUUUAAUUCUAGCUUCUUUCACUUUGCAUAGUGUUUUUGAAGUUCAUCCAUAUUGCAAAAUUGUCAGUAGCACAUCCCUUCUAAUUGUUGAAUAAUAUUUCACUGUAUAAAUAUAUUCCUUUUGUUUAUCAAUUCACCAGUGGACAUUUGGACAUUUGGAUUGUUUUUAGUUUAGAACUAUUAAAAACAUUGUUGCUAUAAAUAUUCACAUGCCUGACUUUCUAUGGACCUGUAUUUUCACUUCACUGAAUUCCUAGGACUGAAUUUUCUGGAUCACAUGGUCAAUCUGUUUAAAAUUUUAAGAAGUUCUCAAACUGUGUUCCAAUAUGGCUGUAACCUUGUAUAUUACCCCGAUCUGACUAUAUGUGUUCCAGUUUCUCCACACCCUUAACAUUUUGCAUUUUCUGUCUUUGUGAUUAUAAUCAUUCUAGUGGGUACGUGUAGUGAUACACCAUUGUGGUUUUAAUUAGCAUUUGCCUAAAUAAUAACGGUGUUGCGCAUCUUGUUGUGUGCUUAUUAGCCAUUCAUAUAUCUUUGGUGUAAUAUCUAUACUUAAUUGAAUUGUCUCCUUAUAAUAAGGUUGUAAGAGGUUUUUAUGUUUUGUGGAUUUAAGUCCUUACCUGCUAUAUAGGUUGUGACUAUUUUUCUCCCAGUCUAUAACUUGCUUUUUCAUUGACUUCUUGUUGUCAUUUGAAGCACACAAAUUUGCAAUUUUUAUAAAUUUCAGUUUAUUAAUUUUGUAUUCAUGGAUUACGCUUUUAGUUUUAUGUCUAAAGUCACUCUACCUACCCAAGUUCAUGAAUUUUUUUCCUCCUAUAUUUUACAUGAGAAGUUUCAUAUAUUUAGCUUUUACAUUUAGUGCCAAAAUAAAAUUUAAGUUAACUUUUGUGUAUGGUAUAAGAUAAAACUGUUUUUUAAAAUUAAUUAUAUUCAAUUUUCUCAGCAUUACCUUGACAUGUUGGUUAAACAUUAACUGACCAUAAAAAUUCAUUUGCCAGCCAGUGUCUUGUUAAGGAUUUUUCUGUCUAUGUUUAUGAGGAAUAUUUGUCAGUAGUUUUCUGCUUUUGUGAUGUCUUCUACAUUUUGUAUCAGAAUAAUGCUGGACUGAUAUAAUGAGCUGUAAAGUGUCUCUUCUUCCUGAAUGAAUCUGUAAAGAAUUCAUAUUAUUUCUCCUUUCAGUAUAUAAUGGAAAUUGCCAAUAAAGUCAUCUGCUCUUGGGCAUUUUUUUAAAUUUAAU